rnacentral:rRNA from 1 species
UACAGGGGUCUCAAGCGUUGUUCGGAUUCAUUGGGCGUAAAGGGUGUGUAGGUGGCGCGCUAAGUCGGGUGUGAAAUUUCGGAGCUUAACUCCGAAACUGCAUUCGAUACUGGCGUGCUUGAGGACUGGAGAGGAGACUGGAAUUCAUGGUGUAGCAGUGAAAUGCGUAGAGAUCAUGAGGAAGACCAGUGGCGAAGGCGGGUCUCUGGACAGUUCCUGACACUGAGACACGAAGGCCAGGGGAGCAAACGGG